UUAAAAGCUUCGGCCUACUUAAAUAUCAGCCUAGUUUAAACCUCAAACCCGCAUGAAAUCAACCCACUUAACCUAAUACUAUAGUUUCUGAAAUAAUUCAAGUCCAACCAGAUUUAUAAACCAGUCAAGUUACAACUAAGCCCAGCCACAAUAAAACUCAGCCUAGUAGAAAGGUUAUUUUGGGAAAACUGAAGCAAAAGAAAUAAAAAGAAAACAGGUUUACGGGAGAGGGGGCUGUGCGAUGCUCACCGAGAGAGAGCUGAGUGCAACGGCGGCUCUGGGUGGUUGGGAGUGACCGGCGACGUGACUGGGGAUCCCUAUGGUGGUGCGACACCGAGAUAGAGAGAGAGAGAGAGAGAGAGAGAGAGAGAGAGAGAGAGAGAGAGAGUUUAGAGAGAGAACCAACAAGCCAAAAAACACUAGGGAAAGAAGUUAGUGGCCGACGAUGAUGGGCUUACCGGAAGGGAGUGGGUGCGACGGGACUAGGUUGGCCGGCGUUUUCUGUGGUGGUGUGGGAGGUGGUCUGUCGAGGUGACUCUUGGUUGCCGAGAGGGGCUACGGUGGUGCUUGCGGGAGCGAUGGGAGGGAACAACUUGAACCUUCAGGAGAUUGGCU